rnacentral:ncRNA from 2 species
AACGAAUGAGGCCUCCGAGUCCCUCCUCCUAAGGGAAGAUCUGCCUAUGGGGCGGGACCGAAGGGCCCUGGGGGAAACCCCUGGGCCUCCCGCGUUUGGAAAGGAGGGCCCGAAUCGUCCGUG